rnacentral:rRNA from 1 species
GGUGGUUAUAGCACGAGGGAUCCACCUCUUCCCAUUCCGAACAGAGAAGAUAAGCCUCGUCACGCCGAUGGUACUGCGUAACAGUGGGAGAGUAGGUAGCCGCCG